UACGUAGGGUGCAAGCGUUGUCCGGAAUUAUUGGGCGUAAAGAGCUCGUAGGCGGUUUGUCGCGUCUGCUGUGAAAACCCGCGGCUUAACCGCGGGCUUGCAGUUGAUACGGGCAGGCUAGAGUUCGGUAGGGGAGACUGGAAUUCCUGGUGUAGCGGUGAAAUGCGCAGAUAUCAGGAGGAACACCGGUGGCGAAGGCGGGUCUCUGGGCCGAUACUGACGCUGAGGAGCGAAAGCGUGGGGAGCGAACAGG
rnacentral:rRNA from 1 species